rnacentral:rRNA from 1 species
UGGGGAAUAUUGCACAAUGGGCGGAAGCCUGAUGCAGCGACGCCGCGUGAGGGAUGACGGCCUUCGGGUUGUAAACCUCUUUCAGUAGGGAAGAAGCGAAAGUGACGGUACCUGCAGAAGAAGCGCCGGCUAACUACGUGCCAGCAGCCGCGGUAAUACGUAGGGCGCAAGCGUUAUCCGGAAUUAUUGGGCGUAAAGAGCUCGUAGGCGGUUUGUCGCGUCUGCCGUGAAAGUCCGGGGCUCAACUCCGGAUCUGCGGUGGGUACGGGCAGACUAGAGUGAUGUAGGGGAGACUGGAAUUCCUGGUGUAGCGGUGAAAUGCGCAGAUAUCAGGAGGAACACCGAUGGCGAAGGCAGGUCUCUGGGCAUUAACUGACGCUGAGGAGCGAAAGCAUGGGGAGCGAACAGGAUUAGAUACCCUGGUAGUCCAUGCCGUAAACGUUGGGCACUAGGUGUGGGGGACAUUCCACGUUUUCCGCGCCGUAGCUAACG